ACCAUCCCAGCACUUUGGGAAACGCCAAAAUCCCACUUUGGGAAACUCCACCCCAGCACUGCACACAGCAGCAGAGCUCAGACUCCCCAGGGCUCAUUUCUCAGGGCACCCACAGCACUAACAGCACCACCAGCACCUGACUUCCGAUUCUGGAAGGGAGCUGCAUCCCUCUUACCACCUAAUUCCCCUCUAAACUCUGCUGUUUGCAUGAUUUAUACCCAAUGCAGACAAGGUCCAGGAUCUGUGCCCACAGCACCCUCUCAUGGAUGAGGGAUGGGUAAGGGCAGAGCCGUGAGCCCACCCUGUGCCCCCAAACCUUCCCUGGGGGCUGGGCACCUCCCCACCAUGACAUCAUGAUGGAUCCCAGCACAUUUGGCCAUCUCAGGAGAAAGAACCAGCAACCAGCACCAGUCCCAACUCAUCCCAAGGCACUUCUGUUCAUUCCCCAUGCCCAUUUCCAUGAUACAUCCAGCUGGACCAUCCCAGCCAUCUCUGGUCUAAUGCAGGUGCCAGCAGGCAGGGAUGCAUCUUCCCAGGAAUUUCGCCAGCUCUCUCUUCCAUGAGCCUUAAAUAUUUUGGAGACAAAAUCCUUGCCAGUUUGUAAAGAUGAUGCCUCAUGUUCCCCAGAACCAGAUCUCUGAGAUCCAUCUGGGCUUGGCAUCAUCCCCUUGGACAUUUUGGGGCUGGGAAAGGGGUUGCUGAUUCAAGUUAAACAAUAACAGUCAGGCUGGCCUUGCUCCCUGCUCUAUGGAAUGGAACUCCAGAAUAUCUCCCUGCCUUGAACAGGUGAAAAACUUGCUAGAGAAGGCAACUCUUGAACUGGCUUUUUGACAGUUUCAUGCACAUCGCUGUGGGCAUCACACCUGCACUGAGGGGCUCUGGGGACUGAAGUUUAUCUCUAGGGUGCUUGGAGAGCUGUGAGCAAGAACACAGCCCAGUAACAAAAUCCUUAUUCUUAGCAAUAAACCAACCCUUUUCCUUUUCAUUGAAGUGCUAAAUUUGAGGCCAUGGUAGUUGCUCCACCCCCCAGAAAACCCAUCUCAGAUGAGUUUUGCUCUGACUUCACUGUGCACCAUGACCUACCUGAUUAAUCACUUAACAAAAAAACUGAACGAAGUAUGUCUGCUAAAUAGCUCCUUUUCCUUCAGCAGCUUGGGCACUUGGGCAAUUUUACAGAAGAAAAAUGUGCCAGUAAAGGCCAAAAAUGGUGGAAGAGCCAUUCCUUAAUGACUUGAAUAUUUGCUGAAACAAGGCAGCACCCUUGCCUGUGGCCUCCAAACCAGCCAAGCAUUCACAAGAUGUGGAUCCUAUUCAAGUUUUUAAAGCUUUAGUUCCCAUCUCCUCCCAUGGGCAGAGAUGCCACUCACUGUAUUGGCUGCUGGUUGGCACCAGCAGGAUGCAAGGAGUGUCUCACAAACAGGAACACAUCACUGGAGUAUUUUGGAUUUCACAGCUUGCUUUUGCUCCCAUGAAUAGCAGAUCUAGCAGUGUUUCCCUGCCUGUUAAAGCAGCUCCUGGUGCAAGAAGCUGUUCCUCUGAGCAUCCUGUCUCACAGCAGGACUUCCUCUGUGGGCUUGGCUCCAAGUCUGCAAAACAAGACUUAAAUCUCCACUAAAAAGGGAGCUACCUUGAAUUACAGAAACUUUCAGGCAUGGGGAACUUUGUGAACAUCCUCUUGCUUGGGCUUGCCCUUCCAGCUGUUAGAAACAUCUCCAGCUGUGUUUCCCCAAGAGCUGGCUAAGAUUUGGCAAUGGAAAUGCAAUGAAAGUUCAAAAAUGUGCUACUCACAGGCAGAGUGGCUGCAUCAGCAGGGCUGGACCAGCAUCACUGCAUCCCUGGCAUGAGCCUGCUCUGUGUGACCAUGCUCACUACACCAACACGAGGUACACAGAAAACACUGCUUUAUUGACUGCAUUAGCCAACACAUUGAGGAAUGCAAAGGGGUUUCUUUUCAUAAGCAAUGGGCCAUGGUCCCAAUGUGUAUUAAAGCAUACACUGUAUCUAAACAGGAUGAAAAUAAUGGCAGACAGAGCUAUUCCAAGGCAACACAAAUAGCAUGCAUAAUACAGUCUCACACAGAACGAGUUUGAUAACAUUAUAUUGCUUUAAGGAUUAACUAACAUGGAAAAUGUACAAAAAGGAGAAAUAGGUUUUUGCAUUAAUGAAAAAUACAUUUUUUCUCUACAAAGGAAUUUCUAAUACAAGAAAAUAAAUAUUGCAACAUAAGCCAAAAAUAAUUUAAAAUUGCUCUUUUCAAUAUAUUUUCAAUAUUUCUCUUUUGUAUUAACAAAUGGCACAUCACGUUCUUUGAAACAAAGAAAACAGAAGGGUUUCUCCUCCUGUGACAUUCAUAUCGUUUCCUGUAACUGAUGUGAAGUGGGUUGGUUUGCAUGUGGAAUGGUGCAAACUGCAGGGGAUUUCCUUAAAGAACAACCAAACCUCAUGCCCUGCCCUGUAGCAGCAUCUUCCUGCAGCAUCUUCCAUCCUGGCUCCAUUCUGCAUCCAACCUUGGGGUGAGCUCCAUGGGACAGCAGGCAUCCUAACCCCAUAACAUAGGUGCAAAUGAAAAAAGAAAAAAAAAAAGAAAAAUUAAAAAAAAAAUCAAAAGAUGGGUGUGGGGAAAAUGGGAGUGUGGAAUGGGAGCUGCCCUGGGGAAACUCCCUCAGCCAUCAGGGCUGGGGCUGGUGAGGGGCUGUGCUCCAUCAGGGAAUGAUGCUUUCUGCAUCCUCAUCUCAACAGCGGCUGCUUCUCCAAGGAAACAGGUGCUCUUACAGUGCAAAUGUCAGUUCCUGCAGUUUAUACAUCUUAAAAGAUAACAUUUCUGUACUAAAAUAAACCUUUUUUUCUUCUCUUUCUAUUCAUUUCAAAAUACAUUUACAUUAACAUCAAAAAUAUUUUCCUUGUGCAUUUUCUCUCCAGAACACCAGACUCCCCUGCUCCCAGGACGCUCCAGGCAGGGGAUGCUCUGGGGUGGCUGCAGCCAUCCUGCCAUGGUCCAGCCCUUGCUCAGCCCCAAAGCUCACCAGAGCCCUUUUCCUCCUCUCUAUUCCUGCCAUCCCAUUCUUCUCCCUGUGCCCCACCAGCUUGCUUAGCUUUUCCCCCAUCUCCCGAUGGCAAAACAUGAUGCCUGAUAUUUUGGAAGUGUUUCAAACUGUGCUAUUGCCCAAUGUUGGAGGUGCCAGGUUGGUUGUUCUUUAAAGUUUCCCCAUUUUUGCUUUCCUGUACUGAGAAGACAAGUAGUGCAGAAGCUGAUGAAUGGAACUGUGUACAGUGAAAUUUGUGGAUUGCUUUUUUUUAACCAUAAUUGAGUGAAGCACACGGAAGCAAGAUUCAUUAAAAGGCAGCAUAUUGAUUAUUGUUAUGACUCGUAUACUAGGAUACUGGAGCUAAAGCUAGCAAGCCUGAUAAGAUAAACUAAGUCCUAUUUACUGUAUUUAACAUUAUCUGAACAUACUGAGCCUUAAUUAAUGAGCAGAUUUUCAUUUCCAACCUCAAUGGAUUAUGCUAAUUUAUAACAAAGGUAGUUCCUGUUUUGUUGGUAUUUUGCUGUUUUUUUGUUUUCUUUUGUUUUUUCCCCCACUAAUAACUUGUGUCACAUUUCUCCCAUCUGAGGAAGAUUCCUUCCCAGGCACGGUCAGUCUCAGCCAGGUGAGUGCUGGGCUCAGGCAGGGCUGGGCAUCCCACCCGCAGCCCCCACCGGUCGCCGUGUCUGGGAUCAGCUGGGCUGUCAUCGCUGAUCUUUGCUGCAAUUUGAUCAAUAAUAAGGACUUUGGAAGGCUGAUAAAGAUGAUGAUCUACUCUAAAACACCAAUCGAAAUAGUCUCAGAGUUUCAAAAAGAAAGCUCACAGUGAAAUGAGCAAAAAGCAUCGGAAACCAAAAUGGCAGGAUGCGGUCUCGGAGCAGCAGCAUCCCUCGGAGCAAGCUUGGAACCUAACGCCGCAGCAGUGUGGUAUGAGUGUGUCUUUAGUCCUUGGUUGCUAAAUAACUUCCAAUUUAUUUUUUUCAUAAUGACAAGUUUCCGGUUUCUGGCUGUGCUGCUUGACUGUCAAAAUAUUUCUUUGGCAUCCACAAAA